UUCGGGGACAUUGGUGACAGGUGGUGCAUGGUUGUCGUCAGCUCGUGUCGUGAGAUGUUGGGUUAAGUCCCGCAACGAGCGCAACCCUUGUCUUUAGUUGCCAUCAUUAAGUUGGGCACUCUAGAGAGACUGCCAGGGAUAACCUGGAGGAAGGUGGGGAUGACGUCAAAUCAUCAUGCCCCUUAUGCUUAGGGCUACACACGUGCUACAAUGGGUAGUACAGAGGGUUGCCAAGCCGUAAGGUGGAGCUAAUCCCUUAAAGCUACUCUCAGUUCGGAUUGUAGGCUGAAACUCGCCUACAUGAAGCUGGAGUUACUAGUAAUCGCAGAUCAGAAUGCUGCGGUGAAUGCGUUCCCGGGUCUUGUACACACCGCCCGUCACACCACGGGAGUUGGAGACGCCCGAAGCCGAUUAUCUAACCUGUUGGAAGAAGUCGUCGAAGGUGGAAUCAAUAACUGGGGUGAAGUCGUAACAAGGUAGCCGUAUCGGAAGGUGCGGCUGGAUCACCUCCUUUCUAAGGA
rnacentral:rRNA from 1 species